rnacentral:rRNA from 1 species
AUGAACGCUGGCGGCGUGCCUCAUACAUGCAAGUCGAGCGCACAGAUGAGGAGCUUGCUCCUCUGACGUUAGCGGCGGACGGGUGAGUAACACGUGGAUAACCUACCUAUAAGACUGGGAUAACUUCGGGAAACCGGAGCUAAUACCGGAUAAUAUAUUGAACCGCAUGGUUCAAUAGUGAAAGACGGUUUUGCUGUCACUUAUAGUUGGAUCCGCGCCGCAUUAGCUAGUUGGUAAGGUAACGGCUUACCAAGGCAACGAUGCGUAGCCGACCUGAGAGGGUGAUCGGCCACACUGGAACUGAGACACGGUCCAGACUCCUACGGGAGGCAGCAGUAGGGAAUCUUCCGCAAUGGGCGAAAGCCUGACGGAGCAACGCCGCGUGAGUGAUGAAGGUCUUCGGAUCGUAAAACUCUGUUAUUAGGGAAGAACAAAUGUGUAAGUAACUAUGCACGUCUUGACGGUACCUAAUCAGAAAGCCACGGCUAACUACGUG